rfam:Capsicum annuum cultivar Zunla-1 chromosome 1, whole genome shotgun sequence
GGCUUACACUUGAUCGCUGAACUUCAGGUAGGUUCUGUUGAAAAAUUCAUGUUACUGAUGCU